rnacentral:rRNA from 1 species
UACGGAGGGGGCUAGCGUUGUUCGGAAUUACUGGGCGUAAAGCGCACGUAGGCGGAUGCUCAAGUCGGGGGUGAAAUCCCGGGGCUCAACCCCGGAACUGCCUCCGAUACUGGGUGGCUGGAGGAUGAGAGAGGCGAGUGGAAUUCCGAGUGUAGAGGUGAAAUUCGUAGAUAUUCGGAGGAACACCAGUGGCGAAGGCGGCUCGCUGGCUCAUUUCUGACGCUGAGGUGCGAAAGCGUGGGGAGCAAACAGG